GAGAAGAUGUUGAUGCAGCUGCUGAAGCACUCAAUGAUAUGCCAAUCAAGAAGCUAUAUAUGUUGAUUGAGAUGGCAGCCCAAGGUGAGCAAGGAGGGGCUGCAGAAGCAAUCUACUCUGGCAAACAAAAGAUCAAGAUUGCUCAUUUUUACGAUUGCCUUCAAGAUGUUGUACGAUACUAAUCAAGUCCCUUUUCCCUUGCCUUACCCACUCCAUCGUUCCCUCUAUAUAUUUUCCAUCCCAGCUUCUUGUGCUGGAAUUUUUUUUUUUU
rnacentral:misc_RNA from 1 species